rnacentral:rRNA from 1 species
UACGUAGGUGGCAAGCGUUAUCCGGAUUUACUGGGUGUAAAGGGCGAGUAGGCGGGAUUGCAAGUCAGAUGAGAAAACUAUGGGCUCAACCGAUAGAGUGCAUUUGAAACUGCAGUUCUUGAGUGAUGGAGAGGCAGGCGGAAUUCCCGGUGUAGCGGUGGAAUGCGUAGAUAUCGGGAGGAACACCAGUGGCGAAGGCGGCCUGCUGGACAUUAACUGACGCUGAGGCGCGAAAGCGUGGGGAGCAAACAGG